rfam:Gasterosteus aculeatus cont1.007946, whole genome shotgun sequence.
CAAACGGCUCUUUUAAGAGCCACUCACAGGUUAUUAUUAUUAGGC